CACUAAGAACACUGGUGCCGAGUCAGACACAAACACAUUAAGGACUCAAAAUCCUUCCCUCCCAAUACAUGGUGGGCAUUACACUGGAUCUUGGAAAAUAAGCUAUUGCAUGUGCACACUAUCUGGCCUUCCAAAAAAACCAGCACCCUAUGAAUCAGGAAGCAGGAAUGCACCAUAAAUGUUAACUUUAAGCAAGGUGAUUUUUGUUUGUUGAAAUUUUUUUUUGCAUUUUUUCCUUUGACUUUUUUCAUUGUGUUUUAUUAUUUAAACCACUGCACUUCUACAAAUUUAAUUGCAAAGGUUGGCUCAUACAAGUAGUAUCAUUUCAUGAACAGAAAAACAUCCAAAAACUGAAUGAGAAGCCACUGGAUGGCCUCACAUACUCAGAAAUGCUUGGGGCAACCACUACUGGAAUAUCUCACUGCGUAGGACAAUUUGAACUUUAAAGUCACAUGAUGAAACCAUUGGUUUUCUAAACAUGCAACGUAUGCAGUUUGAAUAACUGAAAACCGAGUUCCUGUUUCCCCUGCAGAACUGUAGGUUUUUGUAGUCUGUGACUGUCUGGGAUUUUUAGCUUGAUACACAGCAACUAAAGAAGUGACUUUGUUUACGCAGGGAGCAGAGUAUGUAUUUAAAAAGAGUUAUUUCCUCCUAACAGUAAUUAUAUUUCAUCUCACUAUUCACUGCGAAAGCCUCAGCCAGUUGCAUCUGUGGAACAUUUCUUUGCAGAGUCCAGCAUUGCCUCUUGUGUGUUACAUUGAAUUGCUCCGCUCCAGCUGUUGGCAGUGAAGGAUAAUUUAUUAGCUGUGUGCCUGUGCUUCAGAGAGCAGGAGUCUGACACGUACACCUUCACUGCCUGCACACAAAGCAUAACAGAUCAGACUAGAGCAACGUAGUGCCAGGAAAAAAAAACAAACAGAAUGGGAAGGGAGAGACAACAUGAAUCAGAAGUGGCAAAGAGUCCUGUGGCACCUUGUAGACGAACAGACGUAUUGGAGCAUAAGCUUUCGUGGGUGAAUACCCACUUCGUCGGAUGAAUCAGAAGAACAGUGGACAGAAGAGCAACAGGAGAAUGGUGUUCAACUAUAACGAAAUGGAGAAGAACAAAGGCAAGGAAGGAGAUAAUCUAAAGAGGUGUAGGAAAGAAAUAAGCAAGACAAGAUAAAAAAGUUCAUACAAACAGAACAUAUUGAGGAUGAUUUUGUGAUUGAGGCACAGGACUUAAAUUACAUGAGAUGGGGAAUUAAUUCAUGUGAUGUCCGGUGCCUCACUUCCCUAGAUACAAAAUGCUGACAAUGUUAUCUACGUAACUUACAGGAGAAUUGUGAGGAAAAAUUAAAUACGGUUUGUCAGGCGCUUAGGGAUUAGAUUGAUAAGUUCCACAGUAAACCAAUAAAGAAAGGACAUAUAAUCAGGCAGAGCAUAAACUGUGGGGGGUUGUUGAGAGUACACCACAUGCCAUUGCAGUAACGUAAGGAUUAGCAGCAAAUGUAUGGAACACCAGAAUUUAUCAGAGAGUGGUUGAAAGGGAAUGUUAAGUCCUUCAUGUUUUCCAUACUGGAAGCUCUAAGGGUAUGUCUACACAGCAGCUGGGAAGGUGUUUCCCAGCACAGGUAGACAGAAAGCUAGCGUGCUAAAAAGAGCAUGGCUACAGUGGCACAGGCAGUGGCUUGGGCUAGCCAGCCAAGUACCUACCUACGGGAUCAGAAGGGUUUGUACUUGGGUGGCUAACCCAAGCUGCUGACCAUUCUGCUGCAGCCACACUGCUAUUUGCAGCAUGCUAACACAAGCAGAGCUAGCAUGCAACUAUCUACCCACAUUGAGAAGCACCCUAACAGCGGCUGGAUAGACAUACUAGUGUUUUGAGUAAAUUUACAGCCUGCUUGACUGCCUGGAUUUUCUGCAGUGGAAGAGGUGUGAAAUAAUUGCCUUCAAGCUUUCUGCUGCCUCCCCCACAGCCACACAUCUAUUUACUUUGCAGAGCUAGUGUGGAACUCCUCAAACCCAGCUGAUAAUAUUAUUAGGGAAUACAUCUAUCAACACAGAUUCAUAAGAACAUAAGAAUGUCCAUAGUGGGACAGAACAACGGUCCAUCUAGUCCAGAAUCCUGUCUUCCGACAGUGGCCAGUGCCAGGUGAUUCGGAAGGAAUGAACAGAAGAGGGCAAUUAUUGAGUGAUCCAUUCCCUGUCAUGCAGUCCCAGCUUCUGGCAAUCAAAGGCUUAGGGAUACCUAGAGCAUAGGGUUUCCUCCCUGACCAUCUUAGCUAAUAGCCAUCGAGGGACCUAUCCUCCAGGAACUUAUCUAAUUCUUUUUUGAAACCAGUUAUACUCUUGGCCUUCACAACAUCCCCGGCAACGCGUUACACAGGCUGAAUGUGCAUUGUGUGAAGUAAUUCCUCAGGUUUGUUUUAAAUCUGCUGCCUAUUAAACUCCUUUAGUGACCCUGGUUCUUUUGUUAUAUGAAGGGGUAAAUAACACUUCCUUAUUCACUUUCUCCAUACCAUUAAUGAUUUCAGUACCAGUUUGCCUGGUACUGAAGUUAGGCUUACCGGCUUGUAAUUGCCAGGAUCGCCUCUGGAGCCUUUAUUAAAAAUCCAUGUUACAUUAGCUAUCCUCCAGUCAUUUGAUAAAGAGGCUGAUUUAAGUGAUAAGUUACAUACCACAGUCAGUAGUGCUGCAGUUUCAUAUUUUUAAAUGCUACUGUGGCAGGUUUCUUUGUUAUCCCCCAACCCCCAAGGAUGUUAAAUUGAAUUACAUUAUGGUUGCUGUUAUCAAGAGAUUCAGCUAUAUUUACCUCUUCGACCAGAUCCUGUGUGCCACUUAGGACUAAAUCAGGCACUGACUCUCCCCUUGAGGAUUCCAGGACUAGUUGCUCUAAGUAGCAGUCACUGAUGGUGACUAGAAAUUUUCUCUCUACAUGCCAUCCUGAGGUGAUAUGUACCCAAUCAGUACAGGGAUAGUUAUCUAGUCUUCUGUUUGUGUAGCCUCUCUAAUCUCCCUGAGCAUUUCACCAUCACUGUCAUUCUCCUGGUCAGGUGGUCGGUUGUACAUUCCAACUGCUAUACUCUUACUAUUCAAGCAUAGCAUUUUUAUCCAUAGAGAUUCUACGCUACAGUUCGAUUCAUUUAAGAUUUUUACUAUAUUUGAGUCCCUGCAUUAAAAAUUUUUCUGACAAAUGGUCUGAAAACUUUGCAUAAUAGACUACCAUAAAAGAGAUGUGGGCAUCAGGAUUAUCUUACUGCAGGUAAAGGAUCACAUACAUCCAACAAAGAAGCCUUGUUUGAACCUCAGGAUCAGUUUAGUAGUAUACUAGUGCACUCUGACAGUGAAUUCACAAAGCAGCAUUGGUUUCAGUCUUUAAAAAUUCUGCUCAUCUUAGAAGUAAUAACUAUUAGCAAAUAAUAUAUAGAGGCUAAGCCAACUGUCCAACAUCACACAGUGAAUCAACUGCAGAGAUGGCAAUAGACCCCAAUAGCCUUAGACUCCUGGUCCCAUUCUAUAACCACUAGAGACCAUGCUCCUCCACUGCAUCACCCGAUCCUGUGAGGUGUUGCUUAGCACCUCUUGUAAGGUGUUACGGAUCCUCAACUCUCUUUGAAAUCAGUUGGUGACACCUGCCAAGCUCUCUUUGAAAUCAGUUGGCAACACCUGCCAAGCUCUGUGCACCUUGUAGGAUAGAACUGAAGUAGGAAAAAUAGAUUUUGCAAUAAUGUCUGUCAGAGAAAGAAGCAUGGCUCUAAGUGUUAGUUUGUGUCCCCUCCAACCGUAUAAAAGAGAGUGGAUAGUGAGUCCUUUGGACUAAACCCACACUUAUGGAGAACUCUUUCCUACCUUAGUCUGAAUUCACAGCUGACAACAUGUGUUCUCCUUUUUCAAGAACACACCUGAAGAGAUAGCAAAUGAAAAGACAAGGCCGAUGUUUGUACGUUUUAAAAACUACUAGCAGGAAAGAAGCUCCCAGAAGCAAUUUACGAGACAAAACUGAAACCUAAAGUACUCAUUUUAAUCUUGCUAAUUUUCCAGUUUAAAAAUAUUCAAGGAUACACCACAAGCCUCUAACUACACAAAAAUAGCAUCUUGUGUUUCCAUUUUUAUUCUCCUGGGGUGGACCACAUGUUCAUGAGUUCAAGCAGGCACUAUGAGUUUAUUGAUUAAGAAAGGAAAGUUUUAAACAGCUUGUUGUUUUGGUAAGAUCUCACUAACGUGGGGAGUUUCCCUGGAAUUUUUUUUAGCACGGUGCAUUGCUAGGAUUAAAACAGAAAACAAUUACGUCUUAUCUACACAGGAAAGUUUUACUAGUUAUACUAAUAUAUCUAUUUGGGUAUAAUUAUAACAGUGUAACAAACCUGUCUCCUCCCUACCUCCUCCCCCUCCCCCGCCCAAAUCCGGACAUCCUUAACUCUAGUGUGAAUGCCUUGCUACAGUUUAGCUUAAACGCCUUACCAAGUGACAAACUAAACUGAAAAAAGACACUUGUACACUGGAAUAGAAGUACCCACAUGAGGAGUGAUACUAGUUUAAAUGCACACCAGUUUAAAUUUACAUCUUAGGGGUGAUGGGGGAGAAAGGGGGGAAAAGGGAGAACAGGGAGGAAGAGGAAAAGAAAAAAAUUGUAGACGAGGCCUCAGUUGUAAUUUUAAUUUGUUUCUGGCAUCUUUCUUGAUAAGUGUGAAAAAAUGAGACCUAUACAGGUUGAGAAUAUCUUCUUCAAAAUGUCACUGAGCACAAAAGCAGCAGGAUAAGUCUACUCGGUCAGUAAUCAAGAGGAUGCAAUUUAUUAAGGCAAUAAGUUGUAACUUCUGCAGUAUGCUGCUCUAUGUCUAAUCUUCUUUGUCUCAUAGUCUCCUUGGUCUUAUGCUUUGGAUAUUCAAAAGGGGAGUUAGCUGCAAGUAUGAUUUCCUUGGCUAUAGUCAACAGAUGGAGCUACUGCCAGUACCAAGGCCAGAUCCUGGCCAACUGCAAACAUACAUCAGUAUUAUCAUCGGUUUUUCAAUAGUCUGAUGCAGGCUGAUAUUAUUUACAGUGAAAUCUAAAGCUACCUUCUUGUUUUCAUGAGCAAGGAUACUACCACAAAAGUAGCCUGCUAUAAAGCUAUACUGAGAUUCCAUGUAAAGGAACUGGACAUGGUUACUCGAGAGGUUACUUGGCCAGCAGUCUGAAAGGAGUUCAGAAAACAGUAAUGGAAACAUUUAUAGAGCCAGAACUAACCACAAAUGCUCAAUGCUGUCAAAAAAGUUGACAAAUACUCAAUGCUGUCAAAAAGUUGACAGGUCCAGAUGAAAAUAUCACAGGAGGCUGAGAUAAAAAAACUCUUUAACCUUAGAAAGAACAUCUCACAUUUAUCUCAGCCUCCCAAUGUCAUUGUGUAGGAUGAUUCCUUAAGCAAGUGACCACCCUCCUCCAUGUGCCCAGCUUCUCUUCAUUACCUCACAGUCUAGCCUCUUUGGCCAUGUCUAAACUACAAACUUUGGUCGAUACAAGUUGGGCAUAAAGCCGCCAUAGUCAGCAUAUCGCUCAUGUGCAUGUAUACUUGGUUCCUUGUAUCGGCACGGCACAUACUCACCAGGAAUACGAGUGUCGAUACACAGCGUGGUGCACUAUGGGUAGGUAUUCUACUAUGCAGCUUGCCAUCUGCCGGCACACUGUCUUUUGGCAACUUUUGGCAAUGCAUGGUGGGGCAGAAAUGAGUCACACAGUGGUGACUGUGAGCAAGAGGUCAAGUUCCCAGCAUGCAACUUACUUCAUCCCAUAAUGCAAUAAUUUUCCAGCCUUUUUUUAAAAUCCCCAAAACCUGUGCGGCACUUCUCACUGUCCAUCAUCUCUGACAGAAGCAUGGAGCCCAUACAGCUCUGCAGUAUUGUCAUGAGCGUUGAAAACACAGGAUGAAUGAGCCUCUGAUAUUCGCAUAGGAAGUACCACAGGAAGGGGGGACAUGACAAUUUGUAGAGAACAGAUUGCUCUCUGACAUAGGCAAAAACAAUUCAAGGCUGUUGGUGGCCCUCACAGAGCAGUUGCAGAUGGUGGAAUGCCACUUGAUGGAUCACAAGGCACGUGUCGCUGACAUCAGUGUUGGCUGAUCAGGAAAAAUGCACGACACUUGCAUCUUUUACUCCUCGGGGAAUUCUACGCCAAAAAAAUAAAAAUUUUGGCAUAUUUUAUUUGUCAAAAUAAUGCAAUAUAAUCAUGAAAGUUUCAAUUAUUUGGGUAAUUUAUUUAACCUACAAUACAGAAAAAAAUCACAACUAUUCAGCAUUUCCUAAACACAUGAAAGUUAAGUUACAAAUACUUGGUAACCAAUACCCUGUAUUCCAGUUAUAAUCCUGGGUUACAUUACAGAACACCACACAGCAAAAUAAAGUAGAAUGUCAUUUUAAAUUGCUCUUACAUUUUUGCUAAUCAUUGUCCUGCAUUUUAGUAUAAAUCCAGUAUUUUCAUUUAAAUUACAGUACAGAAAACAAAGAGCCUUCAAGUUUUUCUCACUUAGUGAUUUCCUUCUGGCAGAAAGGAUCAAAUUGUUCAAGUGAAAAACUUCUCUCCAUCUGCAGACUUUGAGACAGCAUUUAUGCAAUUCAAGGCUAGUUUGACGACAUUUUGAAUUCUCUCUUUCAAUAAAAGCCAAAACACUUGGAGAUCUACAAAAAUAGGUUUACUUUGAAUAGCCUCAAACACAACCUUUUCCCGGUACAGUUUUAGCUCCUGUUCAGGUACCUCAGAAAAACCAGGUAUUGCUUGAAAAUAUCUCAGUGUUCUAGCAGGAUAUUAAACACGAUGAAUAUCAAAUAACCUACAAGCCUUCAGAAAAUUCAGAUCUGGCUGUUGAAAUUACAAAUAUUUCUCAAACUUUUCCACGGGCUGUGCCUCCCAAAACAGCCUGGCGUGGCCCCACCCACGCUCUGCCCCCAAACCCUUCCUGCUGCUGUUCCCUUCUGUGGCUGAGAGGCUAGGACAGGGAGGAUGAGGGCCACGGUACGCACAAGACCCCGCCAUGCCCGUCUCCCGGGGCUGGGCCCUCGCUGUGCUCCGGCAGUGGUGCCCACCCCAGGCUGGGACCUUGCUGCGCUCCGGCCUCGCCGUCUGCUUGCCUGCCCAGCAUUGGGGCUCCGGGCAUGUGGGGGCGUGUGUGCUCCAGACUCCAGCGGGGGAAAGGGAACAGAAGGGAUGGAGCCUUGGGCAGAGCUGGAGGGGCCAGAGGCUAGCCUCCCCCCAAGGGCGUGUUCACCCGUUGCCCAUGAGAUUUUCAGAAGCUUCAUGGAAUGCCUCUUUAAAGAGAUCUAGGCAGGGCAAGUCUUUCAACAGGAGAUAAAGUUUUCUGCCU